ensembl:lncRNA
UUAAACACAUAUAGCAUUAUUUAUUCAUUCAUUUAUUUUUCAGGAAGUUAAUUCAUUAUUUAUAGAAGUGUGGCAUGGGUUCAGCUGCUCAAUGGAUCCAGGCUCUUUCUAACCUUUUCUUCCUUAAUGUGUAGAGUCUUCAUCUUCAUGCUUGUCCCCUCGUGGUCACAAGAUUGUGUCACAGCUCCAGGCAGCACAACUAUAUUCAAGACAGAAAGAAGAAGGAAGGGGACAAUAUCUGCUCUGUGUGUCUCAAGAAAGCAAAAGUCUUUGAUGGAGGCUCCCAUAACUGGGACACACAGCAUCUCUAGCUGCAAGGAAGGCUAAGAACACAUCUGGUUCUUCAGCCUCUGAGUGGGAGAUGGCAAGGAGGAGGGGGUUGGGAGUGGUAAAUGCCAGAAGAAACCCCCAUUGUUCAAAGUAGUUGCCUGCAGGGAGCAGGACUUACAGUGGAAGGAGUGGGACAGGAUAUUGAUGGGGGUUAUUAUGAGCUCCUCAGCACUAUUUUGUUUUUUAACUAUGCCAAGUGUUACUUUGAUGAAAACUAAAAAUUUAGAAAUAAAGUGUUAUGGUUUCUGUGAAAGAAAAACACUUAAAAAAUUAAAGUUGUAGCAGUUUUCUGUCUCUAGAGAAAAGGACAUCAGUUCACCUUAGAAGCCAGCUAACCAGAAUAAGCUCUUCAUUGGACUAAGGUAUCUUGGGUAUCCACCCACUGAUCUUAGAGAACAUUGUGCCAUCGCUGUUAACCUGAAUGUGGCUGCUUCCAGUGCAGCACUGUGUAGCAGUUACAUGGGCUGACGGUGGUUAGACAGUCCUGGUGCAAUUUCCUGUCUGCCAUUUAUUAGCUCUGUGACCCUGAGCAAUUGACACCUGGGAGCCUCACUGUCCUUCUUUAUGAAAUGAAGGUAAUUCAAGUGUGUGGUACAGAGUAAGCACUCCGCAAAUGUUACCAACUGUGAUUCAAAUGUUAAAUGUUCUGAGCUGUGACAUAAUUUGGGUGUACUUUAACAGUAUUAUGCUUCCACCGAGUCCACUUUUUUAAAAAAUCCUAUUCAUGGGCUUGGACUGGACUGUCCCUGAAAAUUAUUAUUUGUUCCUGAGAGAUGUGUGCAUGUAUUUUUGCUCACAGAACAUACUCAGUUUGGAUCAUCAUGAAAUGCACAAGCUUGAAUUGCUGUUGACUCCACCCUGUGAAAUGUGCUGCUGACUAUUGUGAUUGCCUUGUGUGGGUCACAGGGACCAGGUCACCACUGUGGGUAUUAGCUGUGAAAAUGUCCCAGAGAGAAGAUAAAAUGGAUAUGGGGAGUGUUGCGCUGGAGCAGGAAAUAUGAUUGGCCUGGGAGUUGGGGACCGAACAAUGACCUCCUCUCUGAUGUCAAGGUGAGAGCUGGAGAUCUGGACUCCACAUAGGGAGCAUAUGGCUAAAACCCAACCAGUUGGUGGAUAAUAAUCUUUCCCACACAUAUCAGACAUGGAGGCUAAAGAGAGGGACAGCCAGUAAGCGAGCCCUUCAGAGGGGCAUGGCUGACAUUGUUUUGGAGAGGUAAUAUCUAGUAUGCAUUUACAGUUUUCCUUUCUGGCCAGGUAAUUAUCAUCUGUUAUUCCCAAGACUCCUGUAAAGUUCCAUUAAGCACACAUACAGAGAAGAUAUUGCGUCCAUUAAAAAAAAAAAAAAAAGAUGCUAUGAAAGUGGCAUCUUUGGAGCAUAAGAGUGCUUAGAAAUUUUAAAUGACUGCCAAAAUAAAAAAGUUACAUAGAAGAUAGUCAAGAAAAUAUCUCAGGAUGGAAAACAUGAGAGAAAAUAAAAAGACAAAGACAAUCAGGAGAUCUGAAAUACAACUAACAAGAGGUCUAGAAAGGGAACAGAGAAAAUAAAGGGGAGAAAAUUAGCAAAGAAAUAAAACCGAUUUCUCAGAAGAAGGGGACAUGCGUCUUCAGAUUGAAAAAGCCUAACCACUAGGUGCCCAGUAAAACAGAUGGGGAAAAAACACACUUUGGGGCUCAUCACUGUGAUAUUUCAGAAUAUUGAGGAUGAAGGGAAAAAAAUGUAAGCUUCCAGAGGUAGGAAAAAUAGGUUGCCAACAAAAUAAAUGAGAAUAAUAUUAGCACCCAACUUCUACUAAUCAGCAACAUGCUAAAAGCAAUACCGACAAAAGUCAGAGGAAAAACAUUGUUAACAUAGAAUUCUAAAGAAAAACUAUUAUUCAAAUAUAAAUGUAAAAUAAUGCUACAUUUUCAGAUAUGCAAAGACCUUUAGGAAGUUACCUGAGGUUGUUCCCCAAUAAAACAACAUAUGAUGUCUCAGUCAGGAUUCUUGGACACAAGCAACAGUGACUCUAGUUAACUUAAGCAGAAAAGGGAUUUAUUACAAGAUUAUCAUGUACCUCACAGGAUGCUGGAGAACUGGGCAGGAAAAGCCACAGCUAAGGCCACACUCUGGGGACAGCUGGAUUUGCAUGCUGCUAUUGGUACAGCUGCCCCCACUGCUGUGACCCCUGGACAUCACCCUACCACCACAUGCCACUGAAGAGGACUGUAACCAUCCUCCUCUCUGUUCUCAUUUAUUUGUGGUCAACUUCAGGAUUGUGUUAAUCAUGCUCUUCAAUCCAUGGCACAUUAUUUUCAUCAGUCCGAUCAAGGCCCCUCUUUUGCUUUAUUUCACAGUAGUAUUAUUUUUCCGUCAGUCUCCAUUCCAACUGCCACUCUCCUCCCCACCUCAGUGAAUGACUCUAGUGUGUAUAGUGCAUAUACACUUCCGAUCCAUUUUCCUGGCACCUAUUUUGGUAUGUGCAUAUCCAUGAAAAUAUGUGUUGUUUUACAUUUAACCAAGUGGUAUUAUGCUGUAAAUCCCAUUCUCUUUAUCUUUUUCCAUUCAGCACUAGGUUUGCAGACCUAGCUAUGUGGCUAUAUGUGAAUUUAGCUAUUUUCU